GUUUGUUUGUGUUAAUUGGCGUCGUGUGUAAAAUCUGUGCAGGCGGAUAUUAUGUAAAUCACUUAAAAUAGGAAAAAUAUCAGUGAAAUUGCAUAUGUCCAUACUGCGUGGAAUUCUUAAGAAGUUAUUAUCUGUGUACUUUUACUUGCAUAAUAAAUACGAGGAAGAAUACAGCGCAAUCAAUCAUUGGCCUCAAUUAUUUUCAGAACUUAAGAUAUCAGGUUACGCAGUAUAAUACAUACACAUAUGUACAUCUACAUACAUGCAUUGUCAUUGUGCAAUUAAAACCUUCGGAAACAUCAAAUGAGUCUCACUGCUAGCUGCGCAACACCGCCCCGCCGGUUGCCCUUUGAAUCUUUAAUCUUGGCUAUAAGCGAUUUUGUUCAGUGCAGCCUAGGCGGCGGACACACCGCAAAACUUUUGCGUGUGGUUUUGUGUAUUCCAUUCUAAUAAGUCGCCAGCUAUCUAACAAUUCAAAUCUAAGAAAAUUUCAAAAUUCAAUUUGCACUGACUGUGGCCGUUGUGUGUCGCAGGGGAGCGGCUGGAGGAGGAACAACAAAAGCCCACCUCAUCUAGCAACUCCCUUGGUUCUGUCCCUUCCUCAUUGGCACAGCCACAAGCCACACCACUCGAUGCGACGGCAAAGUGAACAAACAUUUCUGAAAACUUACUUGAAUAGAUUAUUAGGAAUUAUCAAAACUUAAUUUAGCUUAAGAGUGCUCAACUUAAAAGGUGUGGGGGCAGGCAGCCGGGACGUGGCAUGCGGGCAGCUAAUGAAUGCCGCCCGAGUUCAGGACCAGGAGGAGACGACCUGGCCUGGCCAUUGAUCUUGUCAUGCCUUUGUUGUGGACGCUGGUAAAUCUCCGACUAAGCGGCUUAGGGAACGGCUGUGCUUGUGCAACUUAAAAGUUUAGCACAUGAGAUUCAAGCGCUAAGGGAAAUUACAUCAACUGCUGGGUUGUCAUCACAGCGGGACCACGUUUAUUAACUGGACUAGGAGAUGGACGCGAACGCAGACACAGACAUGGACACGGAUCGAUCUAAUGAGGCUGCCAGCUGGCGGCAGUGUCUGGGAUUGGCCGGGUCUGCCAUAUCCAGCUGUGUAAUCGGCUUCAAUUAAAUCAAGCCAAACGACACCGGCAAUUUGAACGUUCGCUUUUGUGCUGCUCCCCACGGGCAUGGACAACGAGCUUGCAGCUAAAUAGAAUCCAGUCAAUGUCGGAGUCGGAGUCGAUGUUGGAGUUGGAGUCAUGGCGACCUUUUAGCAGCGCUUCCUGGCGAGAAGCGUCUUGGCCUCCUGCCUCCUGCCGCCCUCCGUCUCGGGCAUUCACUCAAUCUGGCGUUAAUAACGUGGCACAAAAUUUACAAGGGAAGUGCAGAUGGUGGGCUAGCUGGACUGGACUGUUGGCUUUUGGGGUGAUCUUUCAUACCAGGAGAUAGUGUUACAUAUGAGCAUACCAGAAGGUGGAAGAUUACAAUCUUUGGCCUUAUCUGACUGGAAAAGCACUCAUUCUACGAGCGUCCAUGGAGAGCGCUCUAAUUAUUUACAAUUGAAAUAUUACUUUCAUUUCAAAGAUCUAUAUGAAUAUUUCCCAAAUUUCAAUUUAAAUAUAUUUUUCUUUAUCUUAAGGCUUCCUAGAAGCAUUCCGGAUAUUAGAGUUCGCUUUGCCAAAAACCAUUGGCGAAAUAUAAAGUACCCCAACCAAUAGGAGAAUAAGUUAUUUUUGUAAAUCUCCUCGUUUCGUAUAGAACGGGGGUUUGGUUAUAUACUAUUGUUACUAUUUUUGUAU